GCCAGGCAAGGUGGCGCAUGCCUGUCAUCCCAGCAGCUCGGGAGGCUGAGGCAGGAGGAUGGUGAUUCAAAGCCAGCCUCAGCCAAAGCGAGGCCCUAAGCAACUCAGGGAGACCCUGUCUCUA
rnacentral:sRNA from 1 species